UUUCCGGUUGAUCCCGCCGGACCUGACUGCUAUCGGAUUGAUACUAAGCCAUGCGAGUCUUUGUAGUAAUACAAGGCAGACGGCUCAGUAACACGUAGUCAACCUACCCUAUGGACGAGAAUAAUCUCGGGAAACUGAGCAUAAUUCUCGAUAGAUCAUAAUGCCUGGAAUGGUUUAUGGUUAAAAUGAUUCGUCGCCAUAGGAUGGGACUGCGGCCUAUCAGCUUGUUGGUGAGGUAAUGGCCCACCAAGGCGAUUACAGGUACGGGCUCUGAGAGGAGAAGCCCGGAGAUGGGUACUGAGACACGGACCCAGGCCCUAUGGGGCGCAGCAGGCGAGAAAACUUUGCAAUGUGCGAAAGCACGACAAGGUUAAUCCGAGUGAUUUCUGCUAAAGAAAUCUUUUGUCAGUCAUAAAACCACUGACGAAUAAGGGGUGGGCAAGUUCUGGUGUCAGCCGCCGCGGUAAAACCAGCACCUCAAGUGGUCAGGAUGAUUAUUGGGCCUAAAGCAUCCGUAGCCGGCUUUGUUAGUUUUCGGUUAAAUCCAUGUGCUCAACACAUGGGCUGCCGAAAAUACUGCAUGGCUAGGGAGUGGGAGAGGUAGACGGUACUCAGUAGGAAGGGGUAAAAUCCUUUGAUCUAUUGAUGACCACCUGUGGCGAAGGCGGUCUACCAGAACACGUUCGACGGUGAGGGAUGAAAGCUGGGGGAGCAAACCGGAUUAGAUACCCGGGUAGUCCCAGCUGUAAACGAUGCAGACUCGAUGAUGCAUUGGCAUAAUAGCCAGUGCAGUGUCGCAGGGAAGCCGUUAAGUCUGCCGCCUGGGAAGUACGUACGCAAGUAUGAAACUUAAAGGAAUUGGCGGGGGAGCACCACAAGGGGUGAAGCCUGCGGUUCAAUUGGAGUCAACGCCGGG
rnacentral:rRNA from 1 species